GACCCGAUGGCGCAGCGGCAAGCGCGUCCAGUUACUCAAGUUCGGGAAGGCUCCUGUUCGACUCAGGAUCGGGUCG